rnacentral:rRNA from 1 species
UACGUAGGGUGCGAGCGUUGUCCGGAAUUAUUGGGCGUAAAGAGCUCGUAGGCGGUUUGUUGCGUCUAUCGUGAAAACCUGCAGCUUAACUGUGGGCUUGCGGUGGAUACGGGCAGACUUGAGUUCGGUAGGGGAGACUGGAAUUCCUGGUGUAGCGGUGAAAUGCGCAGAUAUCAGGAGGAACACCGGUGGCGAAGGCGGGUCUCUGGGCCGAUACUGACACUGAUGAGCGAAAGCCAGGGGAGCAAACGGG